rnacentral:rRNA from 1 species
GACAGAGGAUGCAAGCGUUAUCCGGAAUGAUUGGGCGUAAAGCGUCUGUAGGUGGCUUUUCAAGUCCGCCGUCAAAUCCCAGGGCUCAACCCUGGACAGGCGGUGGAAACUACCAAGCUGGAGUACGGUAGGGGCAGGUGGAAUUCCGGGUGUAGCGGUGGAAUGCGUAGAGAUCCGGAAGAACACCGGUGGCGAAGGCGGCCUGCUGGGCAGUGGCUGACGCUGAGGCGCGACAGCGUGGGGAGCAAACAGG